GACAGAGGAUGCAAGCGUUAUCCGGAAUGAUUGGGCGUAAAGCGUCUGUAGGUGGCUUUUUAAGUCUGCCGUCAAAUCCCAGGGCUUAACCCUGGACAGGCGGUGGAAACUACCAAGCUGGAGUACGGUAGGGGCAGGGGGAAUUUCCGGUGGAGCGGUGAAAUGCGUAGAGAUCGGAAAGAACACCAACGGCGAAAGCACUCUGCUGGGCCGACACUGACACUGCGAGACGAAAGCUAGGGGAGCGAACAGG
rnacentral:rRNA from 1 species